UCGUGGAAUUCCCGGUGUAGCGGUGAAAUGCGUAGAGAUCGGGAGGAACACCAGAGGCGAAAGCGGCGACCUGGACAGGCACUGACACUCAACUACGAAAGCGUGGGGAGCAAACAGGAUUAGAUACCCUGGUAGUCCACGCUGUAAACGAUGAGUACUAGGUUUGGUGGGUCUUGACCCCCGCCGAACCGGCGCUAACGCACUAAGUACUCCGCCUGGGAAGUACGGUCGCAAGACUAAAACUCAAAGGAAUUGACGGGGGCCCGCGCAAGCGGUGGAUCAUGUGGUUUAAUUCGAAGCAACGCGAAGAACCUUACCUGGAUUUGACAUCCUCUGACAACCAUAGAGAUAUGGCUUCUGUAGCAAUACAGCAGAGAGACAGGUGCUGCAUGGCUGUCGUCAGCCCGUGUGGUGACAUGUUGGGUUAAGUCCCGCAACGAGCGCAACCCUUGCCAUUAAUUGCCAUCAUUUAGUUGGGCAUUUUAAUGGGACUGCCGGUGACAAACCGGAGGAAGGUGGGGAUGACGUCAAGUCCUCAUGGCCCUUAUGGCCAGGGCUUCACACGUAAUACAAUGGUCGGUACAGAGAGUUGCCAACCCGCGAGGGGGAGCUAAUCUCAGAAAGCCGAUCGUAGUCCGGAUUGUUCUCUGCAACUCGAGAGCAUGAAGUCGGAAUCGCUAGUAAUCGCGGAUCAGCAUGUCGCGGUGAAUACGUUCCCGGGCCUUGUACACACCGCCCGUCACACCAUGGGAGUGGGUUUUACCAGAAGUAGUUAGUCUAACCGCAAGGGGGACGAUUACCACGGUAG
rnacentral:rRNA from 1 species